UAGGGAAUCUUCCACAAUGGACGCAAGUCUGAUGGAGCAACGCCGCGUGAGUGAAGAAGGUUUUCGGACCGUAAAGCUCUGUUGUUGGUGAAGAAGGAUAGAGGUAGUAACUGGCCUUUAUUUGACGGUAAUCAACCAGAAAGUCACGGCUAACUACGUGCCAGCAGCCGCGGUAAUACGUAGGUGGCAAGCGUUGUCCGGAUUUAUUGGGCGUAAAGCGAGCGCAGGCGGAAGAAUAAGUCUGAUGUGAAAGCCCUCGGCUUAACCGAGGAAUUGCAUCGGAAACUGUUUUCUUGAGUGCAGAAGAGGAGAGUAGAACUCCAUGUGUAGCGGUGGAAUGCGUAGAUAUAUGGAAGAAUACCAGUGGCGAAGGCGGCUCUCUGGUCUGCAACUGACGCUGAGGCUCGAAAGCAUGGGUAGCGAACAGGAUUAGAUACCCUGGUAGUCCAUGCCGUAAACGAUGAGUGCUAAGUGUUGGGAGGCUUCCGCCUCUUAGUGCUGCAGCUAACGCAUUAAGCACUCCGCCUGGGGGAGUACGACCGCAAGGUUGAAAC
rnacentral:rRNA from 1 species